rnacentral:lncRNA from 1 species
UACGUUCUCAACCUCAUUUCCAUUUGAUUCUCGGAUCUCACAGGAAUCCUUCAACUGCUUUCUACCAAGCGUUCCAUUUGAACACGUUAAAGGAAUCAAAGAGCCUCUGGGAUAGGUGCUGCAACCUGUACUGGAUGUUUGGGGAUAGAAAGAUGAAUGGGACAUGAUUUGUGUGCUCCAAUGAGCUCAGUCCAGUAGAUGAAGUCUUGCUAUGUUGCCCAGGCUGGCUUUGAACUCCU